UUUAAGAGUUCGAUGUGAUCAGCAACGAACUUAGUGGUAGAUAUUACCGUUUGGGUCUUCGCGAAGAAUAUGUAUUUGAGGAGAUGUUAGUGCGUAUUUGACGAGAGUUUCGUUUUGUCGGAUGGGAAACAACUUCUUAGGCGGGUUUUUUGCGACGUCUCGCAGUGCUGAAGAUUGAUAUUUUUCUAAUGACUGGUUUAUUUGCGAGUAUUUUCAGGACUCGGAUAUAAUUUGUGGACGAAGACGAUUUGCUCAAAAAGUUUCAGAAAUAUCGAGGGCGUGGUCAGAUAUUUUGAACUUGGGAGUAUACGAGUAUACGAGUAUACGUAUACGUACCCACUCCCCCCCCCCUUUUUAG
rnacentral:lncRNA from 1 species